rnacentral:rRNA from 1 species
CAAUAGCGUAUAUUAAAGUUGUUGCAGUUAAAAAGCUCGUAGUUGGAUUUCUGGUCGGAAGCUCCUGUCCUCUGAUGAGCGUACAAGUGCGUCCUACCAUCCUUCUGUUAACCUUUAAGGGUUUCGCGGCUUUCUAGGGGCUCAGAUAUUUUACCUUGAGAAAAUUAGAGUGUUUCAGGCAGGCUAGCGCCGGAAUACAUUAGCAUGGAAUAAUGGAAUAGGACUUUUGCCUCUUCUGUUGGUCAUGAGGCUCGAGUAAUGAUUAAUAGGGAUAGUUGGGGGCAUUAGUACUUAACUGUCAGAGGUGAAAUUCUCGGAUUUGUUAAAGACUAACUUAUGCGAAAGCAUUUGCCAAGGAUGUUUUCAUUAA